UUGUAGCUGAUAUCUCUGCAGAAUAUGUACGGGGUAUUGGCUUUGCUGCUACUUGUUCAUUGGUAGCAAUUGACAAAACAGGAUCACCAGUCACAGUUAGUCCAACAGGUGAAAAUAAACAGAAUGUUAUAUUAUGGAUGGACCAUAGAGCACAGAAAGAAGCUGAUUUUAUAAAUGAACAGAAUCACGAGAUGCUUCAGUAUGUAGGUGGG
rnacentral:misc_RNA from 1 species